GGGCACAGCUCAGUGGUAGAGCAUGUGCUUAGCGUGCACAAGGUCCUGGGUUUAACCCCCAGUACUUCCA
rnacentral:tRNA from 1 species